rnacentral:rRNA from 1 species
AUUGAACGCUGGCGGCAUGCCUUACACAUGCAAGUCGAACGGCAGCACGGGAGCAAUCCUGGUGGCGAGUGGCGAACGGGUGAGUAAUAUAUCGGAACGUGCCCGGUCGUGGGGGAUAACGUAGCGAAAGCUACGCUAAUACCGCAUACGAUCUACGGAUGAAAGCGGGGGAUCGCAAGACCUCGCGCGAUUGGAGCGGCCGAUAUCAGAUUAGGUAGUUGGUGAGGUAAAGGCUCACCAAGCCGACGAUCUGAAGCUGGUCUGAGAGGACGACCAGCCACACUGGGACUGAGACACGGCCCAGACUCCUACGGGAGGCAGCAGUGGGGAAUUUUGGACAAAUGGGCGCAAGCCUGAUCCAGCAAUGCCGCGUGCAGGAUGAAGGCCUUCGGGUUCGGUUAAACGUUA